GUGAGAUCUAAUGCAUUGGGACGCCAUC
rnacentral:sRNA from 1 species